AACAGGAUGAGAAGCCGCAGGGUGUCUGGAGCAAGCAGGUGAUACUCCGUGUGGAGGGUGACAGCAAGGCAGGGACUGGGCGAGGAAGCCACCGCAGCUUCCAAACACGGCCGAGGCAGCUGGACCAGACGGCAGUGGGUGAGACGCAGGAGAAAAACUUGAGCAAAUCUGUGCUUCGGGAAGAACAUUCUAGCCGUGAUGGACAGAUGCACUAACGAGGGGGAGCAUAAAGCAGGGAGCACUCAGGAAACCAUUAGAAGAGUUUGAAGAAGAGCCAACUAGUGCCUGGAAAGGGCAACAUAAGUGGCAAUGGCCAUGAAGAGAGGGAGUCCAAUUUGAAAAACGCCAUGGAGGAGACUCAACAGACCAUGGCAACUGAUGACAUGGGCACAAGGGGACACAGGUUUGAGCCCUGGUCUGGAAAGAUCCCACAUGCCGC